AUGGCUCUUACAAAGCAGACUGCCCGCAAAUCCACGGUUGGUAAAGCACCCAGGAAACAACUGACUACAAAAGCUGCUCACAAGAGUGCGCCCUCUACUGGAGGGAGUGAAGAAACCUCAUCAUUACAGGCCUGGUACUGUGGCACUCAGUGAAAUCAGAUGCUAUCAGAAGUCCACUGAGCUUCUGAUUCCCAAGCUCCCUUUUCAGCAUCUGGUGCGAGAAAUUGCUCAGGACUUCAAAACAGAUCUGCUCUGCGCUUCCAGAGUGCAGCUAUUGGUGCUUUGCGGGAGGCAAGCGAGGCCUAUCUGGUUGGCCUUUUUGAAGAUACCAAUCUGUGUGCUACCCAUGCCAAACCUGUAACAAUUAUGCCAAAAGAUAUCCAGCUAGCAAGCCGCAUACGUGGAGAACGUGAUUAA
rnacentral:lncRNA from 1 species